GGGUUGUGAGGUUAAGCGACUAAGCGUACACGGUGGAUGCCCUGGCAGUCAGAGGCGAUGAAGGACGUGCUAAUCUGCGAAAAGCGUCGGUAAGGUGAUAUGAACCGUUACAGCCGGCGAUGUCCGAAUGGGGAAACCCAGUGCAAUUCGUUGCACUAUCGUUAACUGAAUACAUAGGUUAACGAGGCGAACCGGGGGAACUGAAACAUCUAAGUACCCCGAGGAAAAGAAAUCAACCGAGAUUCCCCCAGUAGCGGCGAGCGAACGGGGAGCAGCCCAGAGUCUGAAUCAGCUUGUGUGUUAGUGGAACGGUCUGGAAAGUCCGACGGUACAGGGUGAUAGUCCCGUACACCAAAAUGCACAGGUUGUGAACUCGAAGAGUAGGGCGGGACACGUGGUAUCCUGUCUGAAUAUGGGGGGACCAUCCUCCAAGGCUAAAUACUCCUGACUGACCGAUAGUGAACCAGUACCGUGAGGGAAAGGCGAAAAGAACCCCGGCGAGGGGAGUGAAAAAGAACCUGAAACCGUGUACGUACAAGCAGUGGGAGCACCUUCGGGUGUGACUGCGUACCUUUUGUAUAAUGGGUCAGCGACUUAUAUUCUGUAGCAAGGUUAACCGUAUAGGGGAGCCGCAGGGAAACCGAGUCUUAACUGGGCGUUAAGUUGCAGGGUAUAGACCCGAAACCCGGUGAUCUAGCCAUGGGCAGGUUGAAGGUUGGGUAACACUAACUGGAGGACCGAACCGACUAAUGUUGAAAAAUUAGCGGAUGACUUGUGGCUGGGGGUGAAAGGCCAAUCAAACCGGGAGAUAGCUGGUUCUCCCCGAAAGCUAUUUAGGUAGCGCCUCGUGAACUCAUCUUCGGGGGUAGAGCACUGUUUCGGCUAGGGGGUCAUCCCGACUUACCAACCCGAUGCAAACUACGAAUACCGAAGAAUGUUAUCACGGGAGACACACGGCGGGUGCUAACGUCCGUCGUGAAGAGGGAAACAACCCAGACCGCCAGCUAAGGUCCCAAAGUCAUGGUUAAGUGGGAAACGAUGUGGGAAGGCACAGACAGCCAGGAUGUUGGCUUAGAAGCAGCCAUCAUUUAAAGAAAGCGUAAUAGCUCACUGGUCGAGUCGGCCUGCGCGGAAGAUGUAACGGGGCUAAACCAUGCACCGAAGCUGCGGCAGCGACACUAUGUGUUGUUGGGUAGGGGAGCGUUCUGUAAGCCUGCGAAGGUGUGCUGUGAGGCAUGCUGGAGGUAUCAGAAGUGCGAAUGCUGACAUAAGUAACGAUAAAGCGGGUGAAAAGCCCGCUCGCCGGAAGACCAAGGGUUCCUGUCCAACGUUAAUCGGGGCAGGGUGAGUCGACCCCUAAGGCGAGGCCGAAAGGCGUAGUCGAUGGGAAACAGGUUAAUAUUCCUGUACUUGGUGUUACUGCGAAGGGGGGACGGAGAAGGCUAUGUUAGCCGGGCGACGGUUGUCCCGGUUUAAGCAUGUAGGCUGGUUAUCCAGGCAAAUCCGGAUAAUCAAGGCUGAGGUGUGAUGACGAGGCACUACGGUGCUGAAGUAACAAAUGCCCUGCUUCCAGGAAAAGCCUCUAAGCAUCAGGUAACAUCAAAUCGUACCCCAAACCGACACAGGUGGUCAGGUAGAGAAUACCAAGGCGCUUGAGAGAACUCGGGUGAAGGAACUAGGCAAAAUGGUGCCGUAACUUCGGGAGAAGGCACGCUGGUGUGUAGGUGAAGUCCCUGCGGAUGGAGCUGAGACCAGUCGAAGAUACCAGCUGGCUGCAACUGUUUAUUAAAAACACAGCACUGUGCAAACACGAAAGUGGACGUAUACGGUGUGACGCCUGCCCGGUGCCGGAAGGUUAAUUGAUGGGGUUAUCCGUAAGGAGAAGCUCUUGAUCGAAGCCCCGGUAAACGGCGGCCGUAACUAUAACGGUCCUAAGGUAGCGAAAUUCCUUGUCGGGUAAGUUCCGACCUGCACGAAUGGCGUAAUGAUGGCCAGGCUGUCUCCACCCGAGACUCAGUGAAAUUGAACUCGCUGUGAAGAUGCAGUGUACCCGCGGCAAGACGGAAAGACCCCGUGAACCUUUACUAUAGCUUGACACUGAACAUUGAGCCUUGAUGUGUAGGAUAGGUGGGAGGCUUUGAAGCGUGGACGCCAGUCUGCGUGGAGCCAACCUUGAAAUACCACCCUUUAAUGUUUGAUGUUCUAACGUUGGCCCCUGACCGGGGUUGCGGACAGUGUCUGGUGGGUAGUUUGACUGGGGCGGUCUCCUCCCAAAGCGUAACGGAGGAGCACGAAGGUUAGCUAAUCCUGGUCGGACAUCAGGAGGUUAGUGCAAUGGCAUAAGCUAGCUUGACUGCGAGCGUGACGGCGCGAGCAGGUGCGAAAGCAGGUCAUAGUGAUCCGGUGGUUCUGAAUGGAAGGGCCAUCGCUCAACGGAUAAAAGGUACUCCGGGGAUAACAGGCUGAUACCGCCCAAGAGUUCAUAUCGACGGCGGUGUUUGGCACCUCGAUGUCGGCUCAUCACAUCCUGGGGCUGAAGUAGGUCCCAAGGGUAUGGCUGUUCGCCAUUUAAAGUGGUACGCGAGCUGGGUUUAGAACGUCGUGAGACAGUUCGGUCCCUAUCUGCCGUGGGCGCUGGAGAAUUGAGGGGGCUGCUCCUAGUACGAGAGGACCGGAGUGGACGCAUCACUGGUGUUCGGGUUGUCAUGCCAAUGGCACUGCCCGGUAGCUAAAUGCGGAAGAGAUAAGUGCUGAAAGCAUCUAAGCACGAAACUUGCCCCGAGAUGAGUUCUCCCUGAGACUAUAAGUCUCCUGAAGGAACGUUAAAGACGAUGACGUUGAUAGGCCGGGUGUGUAAGCGCAGCGAUGCGUUGAGCUAACCGGUACUAAUGAACCGUGAGGCUUAACCUUACAACGCCGAAG
rnacentral:rRNA from 3 species